rnacentral:snRNA from 1 species
GUGCUCGCUUCAGCAGCACAUAUACUAAAAUUGGAAUGAUACAGAGAAGAUUAGCACGUC